GGAGAGGAGGCGAGAGAAGAGGAUAGGGCGGGGAGAGGGAUGUGUGUGUGCGUGUGGGUGGACGGAUGCGGACGAGGAGGAAGGCGACGACGAGGAGGGGGGUGGCGCUGCUGGCUCUAGGGCGCACGGAGAGUCGCAGGCGAGGGCGAGGCGGGUGGAUCAGCAGAGGUGAGGAGGGAGAGAGGCCGGGGGCGCGGCGCCGAAUGGGUGGGAGAGGAGAGGAGGAGG
rnacentral:lncRNA from 1 species